UACGUAGGUGGCAAGCGUUGUCCGGAUUUACUGGGCGUAAAGGGCGUGCAGGCGGUCUGUUAAGUGCAGGGUGAAAGCUCCCGGCUCAACUGGGAGAGGUCCUUGCAUACUGGCGGACUUGAGGGGGGUAGAGGAAAGUGGAAUUCCCGGUGUAGUGGUGAUAUGCGUAGAUAUCGGGAGGAACAUCCGUGGCGAAGGCGGCUACCUGGACCAGCACUGACACUGAGGCACGAAAGCGUGGGGAGCAAACAGG
rnacentral:rRNA from 1 species